GCGUGAUAUGAUGGUAACCAUCUUUCGGGACUGACUCUAUUAUGGAGAUUUCUUAUUCUACUGAUCACAC